rnacentral:rRNA from 1 species
GAUGAACGCUGGCGGCGUGCCUAAUACAUGCAAGUCGAGCGAACGGACGAGAAGCUUGCUUCUCUGAUGUUAGCGGCGGACGGGUGAGUAACACGUGGAUAACCUACCUAUAAGACUGGGAUAACUUCGGGAAACCGGAGCUAAUACCGGAUAAUAUUUUGAACCGCAUGGUUCAAAAGUGAAAGACGGUCUUGCUGUCACUUAUAGAUGGAUCCGCGCUGCAUUAGCUAGUUGGUAAGGUAACGGCUUACCAAGGCAACGAUGCAUAGCCGACCUGAGAGGGUGAUCGGCCACACUGGAACUGAGACACGGUCCAGACUCCUACGGGAGGCAGCAGUAGGGGAUCUUCCGCAAUGGGCGAAAGCCUGACGGAGCAACGCCGCGUGAGUGAUGAAGGUCUUCGGAUCGUAAAACUCUGUUAUUAGGGAAGAACAUAUGUGUAAGUAACUGUGCACAUCUUGACGGUACCUAAUCAGAAAGCCACGGCUAACUACGUGCCAGCAGCCGCGGUAAUACGUAGGUGGCAAGCGUUAUCCGGAAUUAUUGGGCGUAAAGCGCGCGUGGGCGGUUUUUUAAGUCUGAUGUGAAAGCCCACGGCUCAACCGUGGAGGGUCAUUGGAAACUGGAAAACUUGAGUGCAGAAGAGGAAAGUGGAAUUCCAUGUGUAGCGGUGAAAUGCGCAGAGAUAUGGAGGAACACCAGUGGCGAAGGCGACUUUCUGGUCUGUAACUGACGCUGAUGUGCGAAAGCGUGGGGAUCAAACAGGAUUAGAUACCCUGGUAGUCCACGCCGUAAACGAUGAGUGCUAAGUGUUAGGGGGUUUCCGCCCCUUAGUGCUGCAGCUAACGCAUUAAGCACUCCGCCUGGGGAGUACGACCGCAAGGUUGAAACUCAAAGGAAUUGACGGGGACCCGCACAAGCGGUGGAGCAUGUGGUUUAAUUCGAAGCAACGCGAAGAACCUUACCAAAUCUUGACAUCCUUUGACAACUCUAGAGAUAGAGCCUUCCCCUUCGGGGGGGCAAAGUGACAGGUGGUGCAUGGUUGUCGUCAGCUCGUGUCGUGAGAUGUUGGGUUAAGUCCCGCAACGAGCGCAACCCUUAAGCUUAGUUGCCAUCAUUAAGUUGGGCACUCUAAGUUGACUGCCGGUGACAAACCGGAGGAAGGUGGGGAUGACGUCAAAUCAUCAUGCCCCUUAUGAUUUGGGCUACACACGUGCUACAAUGGACAAUACAAAGGGCAGCGAAACCGCGAGGUCAAGCAAAUCCCAUAAAGUUGUUCUCAGUUCGGAUUGUAGUCUGCAACUCGACUACAUGAAGCUGGAAUCGCUAGUAAUCGUAGAUCAGCAUGCUACGGUGAAUACGUUCCCGGGUCU